CAGGUCUGUGAUGCCCUUAGAUGUCCUGGGCCGCACGCGCGCUACACUGACACACGCAACGAGUCUUCCUUGUCCGAAAGGUCCGGGUAAUCUUGUAAAUGUGCGUCGUGAUAGGGAUAGAUUAUUGCAAUUAUUAAUCUUGAACGAGGAAUUCCUAGUAAAUGCGGGUCAUCAGCUCGCGUUGAUUACGUCCCUGCCCUUUGUACACACCGCCCGU
rnacentral:rRNA from 1 species